rnacentral:rRNA from 1 species
AUUGAACGCUGGCGGCAGGCCUAACACAUGCAAGUCGAACGAGUGGCGGACGGGUGAGUACUGUAUCGGAAACUGCCCGAUGGAGGGGGAUAACUACUGGAAAAGGUAUCUAAUAUCGCAUACCAUCGGAUGUGCCCAGAGGGGAUUAUCGAGUAGGUGGGGUAAAGGAUCACCUAGGCGACGAUCCCUCGCUGGUCUGAGAGGAUGACCAGCCACACUGGAACUGAGAGACGGUCCAGACUCCUACGGGAGGCAGCAGUGGGGAAUAUUGCACAAUGGGCGCAAGCCUGAUGCAGCCAUGCCGCGUGUAUGAAGAAGGCCGUCGGGUUGUAAAGUACUUUCAGCGGGGAGGCGUUACUCGCAGAAGAAGCACCGGCUAACUCCGUGCCAGCAGCCGCGGUAAUAC